rnacentral:rRNA from 1 species
UUCUACAGCCGUGCCACCCUAAACACACCUGAUCCCAUCUGAUUUCAGAAGCUAAGCAGGGUUGAACCUGGUUAGUACUUGGAUGGGAGACCACUUAGGAAGACCAGGUGCAAUAGGUG